UCGACGGCAGCACGGGUGCUUGCACCUGGUGGCGAGUGGCGGACGGGUGAGUAAUGCAUCGGAACGUGUCCUAAAGUGGGGGAUAACGCAUCGAAAGAUGUGCUAAUACCGCAUAUUCUCUGAGGAGGAAAGUAGGGGAUCGAAAGACCUUAUGCUUUUGGAGCGGCCGAUGUCUGAUUAGCUAGUUGGUAGGGUAAUGGCUUACCAAGGCGACGAUCAGUAGUUGGUCUGAGAGGACGACCAGCCACACUGGGACUGAGACACGGCCCAGACUCCUACGGGAGGCAGCAGUGGGGAAUUUUGGACAAUGGGCGCAAGCCUGAUCCAGCAAUGCCGCGUGAGUGAAGAAGGCCUUCGGGUUGUAAAGCUCUUUCAGUCGAAAAGAAAAAGCCGUGACUAAUAAUCAUGGUUCAUGACGGUAUCAACAGAAGAAGCACCGGCUAACUACGUGCCAGCAGCCGCGGUAAUACGUAGGGUGCAAGCGUUAAUCGGAAUUACUGGGCGUAAAGGGUGCGCAGGCGGUUCUGUAAGUCAGAUGUGAAAUCCCCGGGCUUAACCUGGGAACUGCGUUUGAAACUGCAGAGCUAGAGUGCGGCAGAGGGAGGUGGAAUUCCAUGUGUAGCAGUGAAAUGCGUAGAGAUAUGGAAGAACAUCGAUGGCGAAGGCAACCUCCUGGGCUAGCACUGACGCUCAUGCACGAAAGCGUGGGGAGCAAACA
rnacentral:rRNA from 1 species